rnacentral:rRNA from 1 species
CACCUGUUCCCAUACCGAACACAGAAGUUAAGCCUUUCAGCGCCGAUGGUACUUGCUUGGAGACGAGCCGGGAGAGUAGGUCGUUGCCGGAU